GUCAUUAUCGAGCUUUGUCAAGCUAUCAACGAGCUCGGAGUCUGAACUCUGAACUCAGGCAGGCGAAAUUGAACUGACUUUCCCUCUUUUCUUUCUUUCUUUCUUUCUCCCACCUCUCCUCGCGCCGCCGCCGGCAACUAGGCUCUGACGGCACCUUCUCUCUCAGUUCUCCUCCUUCUCAUCCGCUCUACAGGACUGGCUUGGGGUGGAGGUUUGCCUUUGCCCGGCCCCGGGCUCGGAUUGAUCUGGUUACGGACCCUACUUCUUUUCUUCGCUGUGAGCACUGUGUUCCCAAUCUCUCCUUCCGGGACUGAUACCCCAAUCUAGGGCACCCCUGAGUACCUGACCACCCCAAGCCUCUUACAUCGAUUCCCCGCUGUCUUCACCCGGUCCGUGAUCUUGGAUAUUGGCUGAGGGAAGUGUGUGUGGUACUUUUAUGGUUGGCCAAAUGCAGAUAUCUUGGCCAUCCACGAUUGUAGAGCUCAUCUUGGGCCUGCUAUGGCACCUUGUCCACCUGUUGGUCAGCCUCUUUGAUUUGUGGUCGCAUCUGAGUGAUAAUCUAGAAUGCUAUCUUAUUUCGUCUGAGUUGCUGCCCAAGUACCGAGAUCUUCAUUUUGAGAGACUUAAUUACGUGGGCGUUGUAGUAGAUAGCAGAGAAGCAAAUGAUGUUUUGAAGAUCAAGCAACUUUUACGGUGGUUAUCAACUAUCGGCGUUAAGUAUGUAGUUCUCUAUGAUAUUGAAGGUGUGCUUAUGAACAUUUGCUUUACAUGCUUACUUGUUUGAGUACACAUGAUCUUAUU